CAAGGUUUCACGUGUUCCUGGGACCUCAAAAUCUACUGGUUUUGGCUUGUCAUUUUCUUCAGCUGAGGAUGUAGACGCUGCAAUCUCAUCUUUCAACAAUUCUUUGUUAGAAGGACAACGAAUUCGCGUGAACAAGGCAUAAACAGCCAAAGGCAAUACUUUGGAAGAAUUGUUGAGCUCAUAUCCUCUAGUUGGAACCAGUACAGACUUUGCAUGAGACAGAAGCCAUAACUUAGUUAUCUUAUUUCUUGUCUAGCUUAAGCCCCAUCUUUUUCAGGUGACAAGUUUCUCCCAGAAAAAAAAAAAAAAAGCAUGAAUAGGAGAGUUGAAUGCUUUGUUGGAAGAAAUUGCGCAGAUAAAGUUUUUGGAACCCCACUAGUUACUUGUAAUUGUAUUGCUUCUUGGUAUCUGUACUGUGUAAUAUGGCAGGUCUUGAUGAGUUAUGGAUGUAUUUAGUUCCUCUCUUUGGCUUGAACAUGACCCCUUGACUGACCUGGAUUUAACAAUCUGUCACAUUGUAUGAGCAUUUGAUGUGAUUUUUUUCA